CGCUGUCGCUUUUGCGACUCGUCUGGAAGCUUCAGUGUACCCCGCUUGUCGGCGUAACAGUGUGAUAAGUAUCUUCACUGGUAGUCUCUUCGGAGGCGCGCUCUCAGAUGGGCUUCUAUGCUUACAACCGUGCUUUGGACAACAACUGACAAUUUGACCUCAAAUCGGGUGGGACUACCCCGCUGAACUUAAGCAUAUCAAUAAGCGGAGGAAAAGAAACUAACAAGGAUUCCCCUAGUAACGGCGAGUGAAGAGGGAAAAGCUCAAAUUUUGAAUCUGAUACCUUUGGUGUUCGAAUUGUAAUCUAGAGAAGUGUUUUCCGUGCUGGACCGUGCAUAAGUUCCCUGGAACGGGGCGUCAUAGAGGGUGAGAAUCCCGUAUAUGGCACGGACUCCCGGUGCUCUGUGAUACACUCUCAACGAGUCGAGUUGUUUGGGAAUGCAGCUCAAAAUGGGUGGUAAAUUCCAUCUAAGGCUAAAUAUAGGCGAGAGACCGAUAGCGAACAAGUACCGUGAGGGAAAGAUGAAAAGCACUUUGGAAAGAGAGUGAAACAGUACGUGAAAUUGUUGAAAGGGAAGCGUUUGAAGUCAGUCCGUGUCGGUCUGGGAUUCAGCCUUCGCUUCUGCACGGUGUAUUUCCUGGCUGAUGGGUCAGCAUCAGUUUUGAUCGAGGGAAAAGGGCCAGAGGAAUGUGGCUGCUUUCGGGCAGUGUUAUAGCCUUUGGUCAUAUGUCUCUGGUUGGGACUGAGGACUGCAGCGCGCCUUAUGGCCGGGGUUCGCGCCCUCGGUACGCGCUAGGAUGCUGGCA
rnacentral:rRNA from 1 species